rnacentral:lncRNA from 1 species
GGGCCGCGGUCGGGAGGCCAGAUACCAGCACACUCCGGUUUGCGGUUGGUCCCCGCGAGCUUUGUCGAGGCUCAGGCACGAUGGUGGGGCGAGGCCCACGAGCGCCUUCUCUGGCCCUACAUCCAGGUCCGAAAAAUGCGAAGUAGCCUGUGGCUGUUUGUGAGGCAAACUUACUGAACCAGUACUGGUGAAACUGCACCACUAUGAAUAUUUCGAGGACUUGCUGAUUCAUGUUUGCAUCUCUAAUGCCUACUGAAAUCUGAGUACCUGUUCAUUCAUUCAUUCAAGAAUUAUUCGUUGAUAGCCUGUAAUAUACCAGGAGAACACUGUGGCGUAGCUGUGCACAUCAGGCCAAUUUCCAAAUUUCAGGGACUUUUGCUUUUUCUGAUGAGUCUCCAGAUGAAAACUCAGCUUAGCUGAUACCUUCACUUCUACCUCGUGAUACGCUGACUAGAGGAGCCAGUCACACCAUGCCUGAUGUCAAAACUACAGAAUUGUGAGUGUGAUCUCAAUGGUGAGGUGACAUGGCUGGGAGUAGACCUUCCAUAACAAGAAGGCGGUUCCUUUAGGAGAGGCUGACAUAGCAGGUUAAAAAGGUGUAUCUUCCCUAUAAACUUGCUGAACAUAGUUGGGUAUAUUGGUUCCACUGUUUUUUAUCAUUAAUACUCUGUGAAUGUGGGAUUUAGAAUAAGUAGCUAAUUUAUUUGUCAUUUUGGGACUUGAGAAUACUUCAAACCUAAGUAUGUGACUCAGUAAUCAUUUUGUGAUGUUCAGUUUAGAGUUGUUGAGAGAUGACUUUUUUUUGGGGAGGGUAAAAUAUUUUACUUUCUAAUAAGUUUAAUUUAAUAGUUUGAAUAAUCAGAAUUAUGUUUAUUUCAAGGGAGUUAGGUUGAAUCCAAAUGUGUAGAGACUUCUUGAGAAAAAUAUAAAACGCAAAUCGAACUUUUAUACAUUAUCCUUUGUUUUCUUUUCCUGCUGUAAAAUGUUUAAAUGUUUAAUUCCUUGAAACUCUUAACACUGAUCUCUAUAUAAAUUCUUUUAAACUAUGCUAUCAUGCAUUGUAUUUUUAGGAUAACUGCAUAUUGUAUUAACUCAAAAUAGGUCAAUGAUCUUCUUUAAUUACUUGUUAGCUGGAAAGUUGAAGCCACAGCUGUGGUUCCUAUUCUCAUUUUUUCUUUUCUCUGUGACUCAGAUUCCUUAUCUCAAAACCUUUUCUUGACUCCAUAUCUGGACCCUUCUUCUCAUGUCCGAUCAUCUUGUUUCCUUUAAUUCUCAUCCUUGACCUUUCCUCAUCUUAGUUUUCUAUGAGGACCUUUCUUCCUUCUUGUAGCCGUUAUUUUACCUUCCUCUCCAGCACCUUCUCUCAUGGAUCAUUUCUUUCCACGACUACCACCCCCCAGCUUUAAGAAAUUAAUUUCUUUCCUCUUCUAUUUCCUUUUUAGGAAAUAAUUACGUAACUCUAGAAAUGUAUAAAUUCCUCACAAAGAUUGGGCCAGGAUGUAAGUGAUUCGUACAAGUUCAGAUCUCUUCCUUUAUUUUCCUUUCUAAUUAAGAACCUUCUCCCAUCCUCAGCAAAGAUGAUCAAUACAUUCUCUUUAUCAGCCAACCUUUAUCUUCUCUCUCAACCUCUGUGUCCUACUUCAUCACUGUAAAUUGCUAAAUGUCUGUUUAAUACAAGAGCUGGGUUAUGCAGAAGUUGGAACAUUCAGGAUGUUGUUUAGGAAUUUUACCUGCAUUUUCUAGGUUCUUAUGAGAGAUCUGCUGGAAAAACAAUAGAGGGACAUAUGGUUCUGUUGGACCUCUGUGCGCAUGAGUAUAAAUGACCAUGUGGGUGCACAACUUGGUGAGCAGAAGAGACCUUCAUGCAAUUUGGAAUAAAGGUGGCCUUUCUUGUGGAAGAACGCCACCUUGUGUCAAGGUUUAUGGCUAGAAAAGGGGUGUGAAGGCUGCAUCUAGCCUCAGCUCUUCAGCUAGUGUUGACAAAAUAUCGGCUGCCUCUGUACACCGAUGCCAAAUAGAAACUCAGAGACAAGAGUUGGAAGAAACAGAAAAAGUAACUUUAAUUGCCAGGCAAAGAGGGGAACACAGCAGGCUAGUACCUCAAGGACUAUGCCACCCCUUGGAGGAGUAGUGAGGAGUCUUAUAGCAUUGGAGGAGCAGGGCGUGAUUAGCUCAUGGACAUUUUCCUGAUUGGUUGGUGGUGAGUCGUUAGGAGUGGGUGUCAUCAACCUUCUGGUUCCAGCUGGUCUGGGUUCUACGUUUUGUGGGCAGCAUACACUUGACUGCUUCCACGGGGUGGGGGCUUCAGCACCUGCAAAACAGAUCCAAGGACAUGGCUCAGAAUAUUAUCUAUAGUCUUUGAAAAAGAACUGAGUGUCCUUGACCUCGUUGAAUGUCCAAAUUAUUAUUAUUGUUUUCUUUUUUUUCUGUAUUUCCUCUCUUCUCUGAUUAAAUUGGUUUUUUGCCUAAAGUUUUUCUGCAGAUAGAAAGGCAGGUGGAGGACAUGAGCGGGGUCCACUCUGGGAAGGCCUCCCGGGUCCUGUUUGGUUGUUCUAGGCCCUUCUGUGCAGUGAAGAACCUGCACAAUCAUAUGUUGCCUCCCCCCGGGAAGAGCAACUCUAGUAAAUGUAAAACAGCAGAGGGUAAAGAGUCAGGUGUAUGUUGUGAAAGGUAACAGCAAUUCUUAUUUCCUUGGAGACAAUUGAAAUUUACUAAACAUCUUUUUCAAGCCAAUUAUUCAAAGUGUAAUGAAUGUUCAUUAGGGUUUAUAAUAAAUUAGGCAUUAGAAAUGUGUAUUUCAGUAGGAAAUGAGAGUAAAAUUGGGAAAGACAGGUAGAUGGAGUAGAGAACAUUGUUUGGCAGACUUUUUGUUAAAAUGCCAGAUGGUAAAUAGUUUAGGCUUUGUGGACCAUACAAGCUUUCUGUUGCAACUCUUAAACUCGGCUCAAAAGCAGCCAUAGAAAUUAUGUAAAUAAGGAGUUUUCCUGUGGCUUAGCGGGUUAAGGAGCUGGUGUUAUUCCUGCAGUGGCUAUGGUUCACUGAGGCAUUUGGUUUGUAUGAAUCUGCUGUUAAUAAGGAAGAGCUCUAAAUCUGAAUAACAAGUAUUCAUAAAUUGUCAGAUUAAUUCCACACAGGAUGAAAAACAAAUUUUGAUUACUGAUUUUAAUUUAUAGAUUUAUAAACACCAGGAAUGUAAGUUUUAUUUGUCAGGGAUUUAUUUCUCUAUUAAAUCGCCUGUAAUAUAUACACUUGAAAAGAUAAAAAACUGGACUAACAGACCACAUUUCAUAUAAACUGUUACUCUUUAAACUUCUCUUGCAGCGCUCAAUUUAAACAAUAUAUAAUGAAUGUAUAUUAUGAGUCUCUGGAUCAUGGUGAAUUUUAUUCCCUUUCUUUCAUAACAGCCAGCUGAUAUCAGAACUGAUCUUUCUUGGAACUGGCCUUGCUAAUGGAAUUCAUAUGGUUUGCUCAGAUAAGUAAUUCUUUGGGGAAAACUCAUUAUAAGCAAAAUACUUGAAAAGAUAUGAGAAAGGGCAACAGUUGGGCUAUAAAAACAGAGUUUAUAUUUUUGCACGGAAAAAAUUUUAUGGUCCUAGCAUUUUACUCGUUCCCAAAUUAUCUGAUUGUAUUAUUCCAGAGGCUAAAUAUAAAGAUUGCCUUGUUAUCAAACUCUCAAAUCUUGAGAAGGAUCAAUCUUAAAAAAAUCCUUUUUCUUCUCCUUCUCCUCCUCCUUCUCUUCUCUCAUUCCUUCCCCUUCUUUUUGUAUGUCUGUUUGCAAGAUGAAUAUAGACUGUUCCAGAAAAUUCUUAUUAAAAACUGUGUGGAAUAGGCAAGAGCUGAUGGGUUAUAAGCAAUUGGAUAUCUGGGCCUUAGUGUUUCCUGCAUGGAGGUGAAUUCCUUUGGCCACACCAGCCGUCCUGUAUUGUUUAUUACAGUCUGUAACCUCUCCCUUCAGCUAAAGGGGCAAAUUCAUGAAGGAGUUCACAGAGCUCUUCUGAUUUUUGAGGCAUUUAAGGCCAGCUAGAAUACACUUUAUUCAGCGUAAUUAUACUUUUAAUUCAUAAGACUUAUAUAUUCAGGUGAAAACUGGCAGUUAAGAAGCCUCAGAGGCAGGGUUUAGAUUUUGAUUGUCAUUUACCACUGCUAGAAAGAAAUUGCAUUCUAGUGGGGCCGUAUCUCAAUGAAAACAAACCUUUCUCUUCCAUAGCACAUUGAUCAAAAGAAAGCUCAAGGUUACAAGGAUUCUCUGAAGUCCAUUGACUCUUUGCUGCUAAUUAGUAGCACAACUUAUUUGAGCAAAUUGAGAAUUUUAAUACCUACUUUGACUUGCUUUUAAUAUUGCUCUAAUUUCCCAUGAACAUGUUUUUGUUCUAAACUUGAUGCGGACAAAUGUACAAACUGUGGAUAGGCCAGUCUUAUUUAUUUAUUAAACAAAGUUAUGUUUUUAUUAGGUUUGGAAUUCACUUCUAGGCAGUUAAAAGAAAGGGGUUAUUAGUACCUUCCUUCUAAGGCCAUUUUGAAAUUUUAUGAAAAAAAAAAAAAGUAUGUGGUACAAAAUUGAUCUGGGUAUACAGCGGGUGAACUGAUUCUAAUCCUACUCUGUGUAUGGAACUAGAUCAAUUUCCCGGUGCUGGCUGUGGGCUUGGGAUGGUAUAUUUAUCUGGUGUUGGAGUCUAGUAAUAUCUUGUAUGCUUUUCCUAUCUGUGUGCUCUCUGGAACAAGUAACCUAGAGAGAGUGUGCCAUUGAGUGGGCUGUCAGAGAUGAAGCUAAGAAAUAGUCAACACCUUGACUUUGCUUAUUUCCUCAGUGUGAAUCAACUAAGGUGGCAGCAAAGGAUAAAAGCAGUGUGUCAGUGAGAGAACUACAGUUUCAUCCCCUGCUUUGGAGACAUUAUUCCCAAUAGCCUAGAGAUUUGUCAGUGACUUGGUAGAGCAUGAAUUCAGGUAUGUGCAUUAAUUAAACUUCCUUUUUGAAGAAUCGCCUCAAUGGCUUCUAGACCUAGAAAUCUGCUGCUCCAAGUAAACCACAGAUUUACACCAGAUCUUGACAUGUAAGACCAUCUAGCAUAAGAUGCUAAAAUAUAGUUUGGUCGUUUGCUUUGUAGUAGAAAUAGUCAUUGUAUCAUGAAUUCAUAUUUGCUAAGACUUGGGAAAUCUUUUGGUUAAGAUUUCCUCAGCCUGUUUGCUGCUACUGAAUUUUUUUUUUUUUUCUUUUGGUUCAGCAAAGGCGAACUCCUUUAGGUCCUAUGACUAAUUUCCCCACAUCCAGAGAUUAUCUAAUGAGUUCCUUAGAAAACUUUGGAACAAAAUUAAUCCAAGAUUUACUGGGUGACUAAUCAUAUCUCUGGGGAAAUAAGCUGGCCCUUAGUUUACUGGUUAGUUGCAAAGAAUCCUGGCAAUGAAUAGAAACAAGGAUAAACAUCUAUUAUUUAAAAAAUUCAGAUGCUCUUGAUGUCCAUAUAAGACAUAUCCUCAGUUUCAAAUUUUCUUCCUAAAGCAUGACGUCUCUUCCUUGGCCAUCAUGAUUUAUCUGUUGAUAAAAUUUACCCUGUGUAUUCAUGAGAAUAUGAUUUAUAAAAGUUAAGAUAUAUACUGGAUCUUUAGCAUAUAAAAGCUUCUAAUGGAUUUUUUUUUUGGAAGAGUAACUGUGAAAAGGAAGUUUGUUUAGAGCAGGAGUUGAGAAAACGUAUGGAAUAAAAGAAAGCAUAAGAUCGCCAGGUUCAUCUAUUUCAGAUUUUGAUGCAUCAGAGGAAAAUCAAUAUGGGUUCCAGAAGGCGUUUUAAGUAAUAAAAGGAUAUUACAUUUUUUUCCAUCAGAUAUUGUCAAAUUUGUGCUUACAUAAUGCUUCAAACAUUUUGAAAGAAUAGAGAAUG